GGCAAGAUGGCCGAGCGGUCUAAGGCGCCACGUUAAGGUUAACCCUUAAUCCUCCUCAUCCGAGAAAGAAAUCCGUGGUCCGAAAGGGCGUGGGUUCGAAUCCCACUCUUGUCA